rnacentral:rRNA from 1 species
CCUACGGGUGGCAGCAGUGAGGAAUAUUGGUCAAUGGACGAGAGUCUGAACCAGCCAAGUAGCGUGAAGGAUGACUGCCCUAUGGGUUGUAAACUUCUUUUAUAUGGGAAUAAAACGUUCCACGUGUGGGAUUUUGUAUGUACCAUAUGAAUAAGGAACGGCUAACUCCGUGCCAGCAGCCGCGGUAAUACGGAGGAUCCGAGCGUUAUCCGGAUUUAUUGGGUUUAAAGGGAGCGUAGGUGGAUUGUUAAGUCAGUUGUGAAAGUUUGCGGCUCAACCGUAAAAUUGCAGUUGAAACUGGCAGUCUUGAGUACAGUAGAGGUGGGCGGAAUUCGUGGUGUAGCGGUGAAAUGCUUAGAUAUCACGAAGAACUCCGAUUGCGAAGGCAGUUCACUGGACUGCAACUGACACUGAGGCUCGAAAGUGUGGGUAUCAAACAGGAUUAGAUACCCCAGUAGUC